rnacentral:rRNA from 1 species
ACGAACGCUGGCGGCGUGCUUCACACCUGCAAGUCGAACGGUGAAGCGCCUUCCUUUUUGGUGGGUGUGGAUGAGUGGCGAACGGGUGAGUAACACGUGAGUAACCUGCCCCCUUCUUCUGGAUACCGCAUGAAAGUGUGGCUAAUACGGGAUAUUCUGGGUCUGUCGCAUGAUGGGUCUGGGAAAGAUAUUGUUUCGGUGGGGGAUGGGCUCGCGGCCUAUCAGCUUGUUGGUGGGGUGAUGGCCUACCAAGGCGGUGACGGGUAGCCGGCCUGAGAGGGUGGACGGUCACACUGGGACUGAGACACGGCCCAGACUCCUACGGGAGGCAGCAGUGGGGAAUAUUGCACAAUGGGCGCAAGCCUGAUGCAGCGACGCCGCGUGAGGGAUGGAGGCCUUCGGGUUGUGAACCUCUUUCGCCAGUGAAGCAGGCCUGCCUCGUUUGUGGGUGGGUUGACGGUAGCUGGAUAAGAAGCGCCGGCUAACUACGUG